rnacentral:rRNA from 1 species
CACGGAUUCUGUGCCGGAGCUAACGCAAUAAAGCGCCCCACCUGGGGAGUACGGCCGCAAGGCUAAAACUCAAAGGAAUUGACGAGGGGCCCGCACAAGCGGCGGAGCAUGUUGCUUAAUUCGAUGCGACGCGAAGAACCUUACCAAGGUUUGACAUGGGCCGUUUACCUCCAGAGAUGGGGGGUCCUUCGGGGCGGUUCACAGGUGGUGCAUGGCUGUCGUCAGCUCGUGUCGUGAGAUGUUGGGUUAAGUCCCGCAACGAGCGCAACCCUCGUCCUAUGUUGCCAGCGGGUCAUACCGGGGACUCAUGGGAGACUGCCGGGGUCAACUCGGAGGAAGGUGGGGAUGACGUCAAGUCUUCAUGCCCCUUAUGUCUUGGGCUGCAAACAUGCUACAAUGGCCGGUACAGAGCGCUGCGAGCCUGUGAGGGUGAGCGAAUCGCGGAAAGCCGGUCUCAGUUCGGAUCGGGGUCUGCAACCCGGCCCCGUGAAGUCGGAGUCGCUAGUAAUCGCGGAUCAGCAACGCCGCGGUGAAUACGUUCCCGGGCCUUGUACACACCGCCCGUCACGUCACGAAAGUCGGCAACACCCGAAGCCCAUGGCCUAACCCUUCGGGGACGGAGUGGUCGAAGGUGGGGUCGGCGAUUGGGACGAAGUCGUAACAUCGUAAC